ensembl:ncRNA F18E9.10 ncRNA
GGGUUAACAAACACAAGAAAUUGAGAAAGUGACACCAGCAACAAAUACCAAGAAUUAAAUGAACAAAAUAUGGAAAAUGACUGAAAAGGAAGUAGGAAGAAAGGGGGAGUAAUUGAUGACAUUGACUGAGUGGAUCGUUUUGUAUGUUUCAAGCACUCACUUUUCU